rnacentral:rRNA from 1 species
AGUCCCAGUUCAGAUUGCAGGCUGCAACUCGCCUGCAUGAAGUCGGAAUUGCUAGUAAUCGCAGGUCAGCAUACUGCGGUGAAUACGUUCCCGGGUCUUGUACACACCGCCCGUCACACCAUGGGAGCCGGAAAUGCCCGAAGCCAGUGACCCAACCUUAGGGAGGGAGCUGUCGAAGGUGGAGCCGGUAACUGGGGUGAAGUCGUAACAAGGUAAC